UACAGAGGGUGCAAGCGUUAAUCGGAAUUACUGGGCGUAAAGCGUGCGUAGACGGUUAUUUAAGUCAGGUGUGAAAGCCCAGGGCUCAACCUUGGAAUUGCAUUUGAGACUGAAUAGCUAGGGUGCGGAAGAGGGAAGCGGAAUUUCCGGUGUAGCGGUGAAAUGCGUAGAUAUCGGAAGGAACACCGGUGGCGAAGGCGGCAUCCUGGACCGAUACUGACGCUGAGGAGCGAAAGCUAGGGGAGCAAACAGGG
rnacentral:rRNA from 1 species